UGGGGAAUAUUGGGCAAUGGGCGCAAGCCUGACCCAGCCAUGCCGCGUGAGUGAUGAAGGCCUUCGGGUCGUAAAGCUCUGUGGGGAGGGAAGAAACCCCUCGUAGCUAAUAUCUACGAGGCUUGACGGUACCUCCUUAGCAAGCACCGGCUAACUCCGUGCCAGCAGCCGCGGUAAUACGGAGGGUGCAAACGUUGCUCGGAAUCAUUGGGCGUAAAGCGCACGUAGGCGGCCUGACAAGUCGGGUGUGAAAGCCCUGGGCUCAACCCAGGAAGUGCACUCGAAACUGUCAGGCUUGAAUAUGGAAGAGGGUCGCGGAAUUCCCGGUGUAGAGGUGAAAUUCGUAGAUAUCGGGAGGAACACCAGUGGCGAAGGCGGCGACCUGGGCCAAUAUUGACGCUGAGGUGCGAAAGCGUGGGGAGCAAACA
rnacentral:rRNA from 1 species